rnacentral:lncRNA from 1 species
GCAUAUUGGAGCCAUUUCGUGGCAUUGUUGGAAAGAGAGGAAUGCGAGAAUUUUUCUGGGUAAACAAUCCUCCAUUUGCUAUGCGGUCCAUUAAAGCCUCCAUCUCUUCAAUCUGUGGUCAUUGAGCAUGGAAAAAUUUGGCACAAAAUCAAAUCUCUUCCAGCCUUAUUGUAGGGUCUAUGAGCCUACAUCAGCGAACUCCUUCCUCCCCUAGACUAAUUCCAUUGGGAAUGGGGUUUUUGGGCAGUCCACUUUAACAAGUUGCAGCCUGGGAACAACAAUCAGGUUCCGUUCCUUCCUAAUGUAAUCUUCAGUGGUCUCUUUUCUCUUCAGUCCUUCUUCUCCGUCUCCCUGUAAUUUUUGCUCGUUCACCUUGUACUUGGUAAUUACUUCCUGCUCUUAAUAAAAGCUGGGUGGCCACCAUCUCCCAUUUUCAUACAAAAAAAAAAAGAAAAAUCUAAAUUUUAUGUUGUCUCCUAUUGCUUGGAGGUAGGCAAUGCACUGCUUAACCAUUUUAUUUAUUUCAAUCUAUCAUAUAUCGGGC